AUUGAACGCUGGCGGCAUGCCUUACACAUGCAAGUCGAACGGCAGCACGGGCUUCGGUCUGGUGGCGAGUGGCGAACGGGUGAGUAAAGUAUCGGAACGUACCAUUGAGUGGGGGAUAACGUAGCGAAAGUUACGCUAAUACCGCAUAUACCCCGAGGGGGAAAGCAGGGGAUCUUAGGACCUUGUGCUCUUUGAGCGGCCGAUAUCAGAUUAGCUAGUUGGUGAGGUAAAGGCUCACCAAGGCGACGAUCUGUAGCGGGUCUGAGAGGAUGAUCCGCCACACUGGGACUGAGACACGGCCCAGACUCCUACGGGAGGCAGCAGUAGGGAAUUUUGGACAAUGGGGGCAACCCUGAUCCAGCCAUGCCGCGUGAGUGAAGAAGGCCUUCGGGUUGUAAAGCUCUUUCAGCCGGGAAAAAAUCGCACAGGCUAAUAUCCUGUGUGGAUGACGGUACCGGAAUAAGAAGCACCGGCUAACUACGUGCCAGCCGCCGCGGUAAUAC
rnacentral:rRNA from 1 species